rnacentral:rRNA from 1 species
AGUGGCGCACGGGUGCGUAACACGUAUGCAACCUACCCUUAAGUGGGGAAUAGCGGUGUGAGAGCGGGGCUAAUACCCCAUAACAUUAUGGUAAGGCAUCUUACUAUUAUCAAAGAUUUAUCGGUUAGGGAUGGGCAUGCGCCCCAUUAGUUAGUUGGUUAGGUAACGGCUAACCAAGACUGUGAUGGGUAGGGGUUCUGAGAGGAUUCUCCCCCACACUGGUACUGAGACACGGACCAGACUCCGGCGGGAGGCAGCAGUAAGGAAUAUUGGGCAAUGGACGCAAGUCUGACCCAUCCUUGCCGCGUGCAGGAUGACGGCCUUAUGGGUUGUAAACUGCUUUUGUAUGGGAUUAAAGUGUUGUACGUGUACGACAUUGCAAGUACCAUACGAAUAAGCAUCGGCUAACUCCGUGCCAGCAGCCGCGGUAAUACGGAGGAUGCAAGCGUUAUCCGGAAUCAUUGGGUUUAAAGGGUGCGUAGGUUGAUUAUUAAGUCAGUGGUGAAAAUUCCGGGGUCAACCCGGGACUUGCCGUUGA